GACGCUCUUCGGAUCUGGGGGGUGCAAGGACCAAAGGGAAGCAGGUGGUCGUGGAGGAACCUCAAGCCCCGGGCUGAGCAGCGAGUCGUCUAAGGUUAGUUUUGAAUAGGGUCAAGGUAGUAAAGCCCUGG